CCCGACUGCUAUUUGGGUGAGGAUAAGCCAUGCGAGUUGAAUGGGAAACCUAAAAAUCCCAUGGCAAACUGCUCAGUAACACAUGAUCAACUUGCCCUAUAGAGGAAAAUAACCUCGGGAAACUGAGGAUAAUGUUCCAUAGUUGAAUCGGCUUGGAAAAGUUUUUCAAUAAAAGGGAUAAGGAAAAUGGUCCUUAUCUGCUAUAGGAUAGGAUCGUGCUCGAUUAUGGUUGUUGGUGAGGUAAAGGCUCACCAAGCCGAUAAUCGAUAGGGGCCGUGAGAGCGGGAGCCCCGAGAUGGGUACUGAGACAACGACCCAGGCCUUAUGAGGCGCAGCAGGCGCGAAACCUCCGCAAUACACGAAAGUGUGACGGGGUUACCCAAAGUGUUCUAUUUAGAACUGUGGUAGGUGAGUAAUGUCCCCUACUAGAAAGGAGAGGGCAAGGCUGGUGCCAGCCGCCGCGGUAAAACCAGCUCUUCAAGUGGUCGGGAUAAUUAUUGGGCUUAAAGUGUCCGUAGCCGGUUUAGUAAGUUCCUGGUAAAAUCGGGUAGCUUAACUAUCUAUAUGCUAGGAAUACUGCUAUACUAGAGGGCGGGAGAGGUCUGAGGUACUACAGGGGUAGGGGUGAAAUCUUAUAAUCCUUGUAGGACCACCAGUGGCGAAGGCGUCAGACUGGAACGCGCCUGACGGUGAGGGACGAAAGCCAGGGGAGUGAACCGGAUUAGAUACCCGGGUAGUCCUGGCCGUAAACGAUGCAUACUAGGUGAUGGCACGGCCAUGAGCCGUGUCAGUGCCGUAGGGAAACCGUUAAGUGUGCCGCCUGGGAAGUACGGUCGCAAGGCUAAAACU
rnacentral:rRNA from 1 species